ensembl:snRNA U6 U6 spliceosomal RNA
GUGCUCACUUUGGCAGCACAUAUAGUAAAAUUGGAAUGAAACAGAGAAGAUUAGCAUGGCCACUGUGCAAAGAUGACAUGCAAAUUCGUGAAGCAUUCUAUAUUUUU